CCUACGGGAGGCAGCAGUGAGGAAUAUUGGUCAAUGGACGAGAGUCUGAACCAGCCAAGUAGCGUGAAGGAUGACUGCCCUAUGGGUUGUAAACUUUUUUUAUAUGGGAAUAAAAUGUUCCACGUGUGGGAUUUUGUAUGUACCAUAUGAAGAAGGAUCGGCUAACUCCGUGACAGCAGCCGCGGGAAUACGGAGGAUCCGAGCGUUAUCCGGAUUUUUUGGGUUUAAAGGGAGCGUAGGUGGAUUGUUAAGUCAGUUGUGAAAGUUUGCGGCUCAACCGUAAAAGUGCAUUUGAAACUGGCAGUCUUGAGUACAGUAGAGGUGGGCGGAAUUCGUGGUGUAGCGGUGAAAUGCGUAGAUAUCACGAAGAACUCCGAUUGCGAAGGCAGCUCACUGGACUGCAACUGACACUGAGGCUCGAAAGUGUGGGUAUCAAACAGGAUUAGAUACCCCAGUAGUC
rnacentral:rRNA from 1 species